AUUGAACGUUAGCGGCAUGCCUUACACAUGCAAGUCGAACGGCAGCACGGGGGCAACCCUGGUGGCGAGUGGCGAACGGGUGAGUAAUGCAUCGGAACGUGCCCAUCGAUGGGGGAUAACUGCGCGAAAGCGUUGCUAAUACCGCAUACGACCUACGGGUGAAAGCAGGGGACCGCAAGGCCUUGCGUCGAUGGAGCGGCCGAUGCCGGAUUAGCUAGUUGGUGAGGUAAAGGCUCACCAAGGCGACGAUCCCGUAGCUGGUCUGAGAGGACGACCAGCCACACUGGGACUGAGACACGGCCCAGACUCCUACGGGAGGCAGCAGUGGGGAAUCUUGGACAAUGGGCGAAAGCCUGAUCCAGCAAUGCCGCGUGUGGGAAGAAGGCCUUCGGGUUGUAAACCACUUUUGGCGGGAAAGAAAUGGUCUGUGCUAAUACCACGGAUUGAUGACGGUACCCGCAGAAUAAGCACCGGCUAACUACGUG
rnacentral:rRNA from 1 species